AUCGCUUCUCGGCCUUUUGGCUAAGAUCAAGUGAACUCAGGACCUUGCACUUGCAAGGCAGGCGGCGGCGGAACCACUGAACUAAAUCCCCCGCCCUAAAAUGUUAACUUUAAUAUAAUAAUUAACAUUAUAUUUAGACUAUAUUAAUAGUCCAUAUUUGUUUUGCAAAAACACAAGUAUGAUACACAUU
ensembl:snRNA U2 U2 spliceosomal RNA